CUGCUUGUCCAGCGAUGCUCCACUGUGUUAAUAAUACUGUUGGCGCACUCCAUCGUAUCUCCCCUUCCCAUAACUGUGAUAAGCGUACCCAAUCUGUGCGAUAGAACCGGUUUCCCGUCAGCUGUUAACCUUUGUACUUAGCCGUUUGCUGUUCGUCGCCAUGGCUGCUAGCCAAGCAGAAGGGGAGAACAGUUCCCCGAUCGUAAACCUGACAGAUUUAGGAGCAUUGCGAGGUACCAUAGGCACUGGUGCCUGGACAGGGCGUAAGUUCUAUCAAUUCUUGGGCGUACAUUACGCACAAUCGACUGCGGGUAAAAAUCGUUUCCAGCCUCCGAUAAAAGUAGACCCAUGGCAGGGAGUCAAAGAUGCAACCCGGCACGGUAUGCCAUGUCCACAGAUGAAGCUUAUUUCGCUAUUUACCGGGAAAGCGUUUGUGCCGGAUCCGGAAGAUUGUUUGACUGUGUCGAUCUACAGCUCAGAUCUGGCAGCUAAAAGACCCGUGAUGGUUUUCAUUCACGGUGGCGGAUUCCAUGAAGGUAGUGCCAAAAAUCAAACGGCUGAGUUUCUAAUGGAGCGCGAUGUUGUGCUUGUCACGGUCCAGUACCGGCUUGGUCCACUGGGAUUUCUUGCGACGAAGGACAUCCGGGGAAAUAUGGGUCUCAUGGAUAUGACACUUGCUCUGGAAUGGAUACAGGAGCACAUCGAAAGUUUCGGUGGCGAUCGGAACAAUGUCACGCUGUUUGGCCAAUCGGCUGGAGCGGCCGGCAUUUCUGCGCUUAUGUACAGUCCCCAAGUCCCAGAAGGAUUGUUCCACAAAGUUAUACUGCAAUCAGCCGGAUCCUCCUCACCGUGGGUAUGGGAUACGAACCCGCUUGACAGUGCGAGACAUAUUGCCUUCGAGUCUGGUUGGGACGAAUCGAAUACGCUUGAGGAGCAUUUUCAAGAGGUGGACGUUUGGACUCUUUUGCGUGGCUUUAUCGAUGCGAAGACGCAGACAAGCAUUUCACAAGGGUUGGAUCAUGUCGGUGGUAACCGUCUCGUUACGAACGAUUAUCGUGGCGCCUUUUUACCACAAACUCCUUGGGAAUGUAUGAAACAGGGCAAGAUAAGGAAGAACAUUCCCAUGAUGGCCGGCGUAACGAAGCACGAGGGUACAUUUCUGCUGACGACCGUGUACGAUCAUUUCAAGCGUACCGGUCAGCUGGAUGAUCCGAACUUUAUGAAAUACUUUCUAGUGGAUGCGGUGAACAAUUUUCUCGGAGCGCGUGAUCCUACCGGUGCAUUGGGUGGGUACGAGAUGCGAUCGUUGUUCACCGGAAAGGAGCUUGAAAGUGGUAACUUUGGUGAGCUGGCGGAUGGGUUGAUUGAUUUGGCAGGUACCAUAUUGAUCAAAGCGCCACUGUUACGUGAAGCUCAGGCAAAUGCUAGAGUGAACCCGAACGCCACAUUCCUGUAUUCGUUUGAUUAUGUCGGCGAACAAACCCGUUUUGGGUACGGUAGUGACACAUCGCACUAUCCGUUCGAUGGUGGCGUUCAUCAUUCGGACGAUAAACUGUACCUGUUCCCAUACCCACCGGGAAACCCGGUUGCGUUGAACGAGAAAGACACUGCCAUGGCAAAGCUGAUGGUGGAUCUGUGGACUUCCUUUGCAACGGAUGGGAUACCAAAAUCGGAACAUUUGACUGUUGCGUGGAACCCAAUGAAACAUUAUGCCGGACCGUACUUACACAUUAAUGAUCCGCUGAGCGUUGGUGAUAAUUUUUACGAAGAAUUUACUGUGGCAAGCGAUGAGAAACGGCGACGGAACAAGGAACAUGUAUAGUUCAACUAUAUAAUUUAAGUAAAACAAGCAACACAAACGGAGUGAAACAUUCAGCACAAAAAAACCAGGAGGAGAUUUUAAAGGUAUGUUUAAAGAGGGAAACGAUUUGUCCGAGUUGGUUGGAAGGACACUUUUUUUUCGCUGCGAAUCCUAUUCAAAUAAAUGUUGAGCUGCUGUCAGCUGCCAUUGUAAAAGGGAUCGCCAACAGUUCCGGAUGUAAAACGGGAGAGAAAGUUGGUAUAUGCGUGUGGAAAAUGGCAGGUUAUGACUCACACGAGAAUAUUAGGAGCUGGAAGUUGCUUUGCAGCAGCCACUGUACAGCAACCGGAUGUCACAGCAGCAUGCAGAACCCCAUACUGAUAAGGGCAUUAAGCAGAAAAGUGGUCAAUUAAACCUCACAAAAGUACACCCCAGGCAUCAGCCACGCAUUGCCCUCAAUCCUUUUUUUCACACCAACCCCAAGCUAAGGCGUCUUACCGUUCCUGCAGUGCGUCGGGGUCCUAAACCCGUACGAAAUUUGAUCUUCAAUUGUGGACUCCCAUCUCUCUGUCCCAUGCGUAUCUGUACACGCACCUUCCAUGUAAGUUAGAGCGAAUGAAAUACUUUUGGUCGGGUUGCCGUUGUAAGCCCACCCGCCGGUUCGCUAUACAUGGGAAUCGUUUUCCCACAUUUUUCUUUGAAUACUGGAACCAAAUUCCAGUAGCGAUGAGUAGAACUUGAGGUGUUUUGGGCUUCGUAAUCAUAAUUGAAUAUUAGCAAUUAAGUUAUGAAGGAUAAAAGGUUACAGUAACUGUUUUCAUGCUUAUUGAUUCACACGUAAAUUGAAUUUAUUAGAAGAAUAAUGAUUCUUUUUUUUCUGAUUAGAAAAAUAAUUAAUAAUGAUCACUUCUACAAGCUUCGAAACAUGUAGUUCGCUUGUAGUUCGUUGUCAUAAAGUACUAUAUGCGAAGUGUUAUUAUUUUGCUCGCCGUAUACAUUUCGACACCCUUUUUAUUUUGUACCGACCGCUAACCGAUCCUCAUCUCAAGUGAAGAACAUAAAAUGGAAAUAAAAAUUGAUCCGUAAAUGUUCACAUUUGAGGGAAUUUUGCGGGUUAGUACUUACUGCUAACAAAUGCAAUACAUAAGAAAAGUAUUGAACUCGACGGAACUAUAUGAGCGGAUGCGUGAAUUGAUGCUAAAAACGAUCUUACAAUUUUAUAAUAUUCGUAAUAUUUUCCUAACUUGUAGCCAUUCGAACAAAUAGGAACCAAUUUUAGGAAGAUUAUCAAGCUGUUUCGUUGUUUUUAUUAUUUAAUCUUUUUAUAUCUGUUUACACAUUAUUUUGUUUGAAUUAAAUUAAAUUAUAAAUUGUUUUGAUUUCUUAUAUUUUGUUUUAAAUUUUCUAGAUUUUUCUGUACAAUUAUAUAUUUCAAAUGUUAUAUUCGGGAUUGACUGAAUUUUAUAAUUUCAUAUCGCUUCAUAAUAUUAUUAAAGAUUGCGCCAACUUUAUCAUCGGUUAACAUCUUCUUUAUUUUCGUUUUUAGUUCUAAAUGUAUGGAUUCUUAACUGUCUGUACUUAACUAACCUUGAAGGAAUCGUUCAUUAGUUUUUUAGAAAUAUUUUUAUUGUUUUCCUUAAUGCGGUAGAAUAUGUUUUGUAAAAAUGUGGUACAACAUAAAAAAACUUUAUUGAGCUAAUAUAAAACAAAAAUGAAUAAUAACUUCAAUACAUACAGAGCAACAUUAUAAAAAAAAUAUUUUGUUCCUUAAGAACAUAAUAAAAACAAAUAAAAGUAAAAAAAACCAUAAAAACAAAUAAAAGAAACUAAACUAAAAAAAUAGAAUAGAAAACAACAUUCUAACAAUAAAAAUGAAACAUAACAGGGAAAAAUGAGUAAAAAUCUUAAAGAAUAAAACUCGUUUUGUAACAUUGAUAGAAACUAUCUCACGUUAACAUUUACUAACGUUGUUGUAGACAUGAGAUUAUGAAAGUUGAAAACUUAAGAUACACUGUUAGUUUCUCUUUAGUUAUUCUCUAGCAGCUAGCAGCUAGCAGUUACGAACUAAGUGGUUUAGUUAGUCCAGUUGUCAACGUUUUGGUCGUCUGAAUGGUGGCAUUUGCAGUCGCAUAACACCGGUAGUCGUGGAAAGUUUGUCCCUGUCUCGAUAACAUCGGGCGGGUAACAACGAUUCAGGGAUCGGAUUGCAGGGUAAAGUCAGAAAUAAUCGAGAACUGAGAACCAGCGCAAAAAUGCAAAAUAGUGCAAUCGAUUUAGUGCUUGAACAGCACUUGAUCCCGCGCGCUCGAGUGGAGAACGUCGUCGAGAACAAGGGUCCCGGGUUCCGCGACACCGCCAGCCCGAGUGCUAUCGAUGGAAUAUGAACGUGAACCACGAAAUUGUGACCUCAAGCACGCACUCCUUCAAACGGGACGCUGAACAUUACGACAGUGCACGGUGUAACCCUUCAGCGUAAAAAGGAGCAAAGGCUCGUUGGGGAGUUUUUUUUUUAUCCACCGAUGUAUAAUGUACGAUUAAAAUCUUGCGGAAGUGAACAAAAAAAAGUCCCAUUUCGCCCGCUAGCAAUAUUGUUUUUUUUUUAUUUUCCCAAUAUUGUUUGGUUGGUUUUUUUCUUUCUUUCCAUUCGGAUUACUCGGCCCCGAAACCCACUGUUUCUGUGGCCACACACAAUCCGUGGGACUUCCUGCUUUCGUCUUGCAAUUAAGACGUUGUGACGCUGUCGCCACUUGAGCCCGCGACCGGGAGGGAAGUUUGUCAAGUGAUGGAUUCUUUACUUCCGCUUUUUUUCCUUCACCAACGGCCAUUGUGAAGAAGUUAAUUUGUUGAUUCUUUCUUUUUUUUCUUUUUCGUUUUUUUAAAAGGAACCCAUCGCUCCCAUCGGAUUGGUUUCCUUUGUGUUGGGUUUGUUUUCAAAUGAUUUUUUUUUGCGUUUGGUGUGUUGUAUCCGAUUUACAAUGCACUUAUUUUCUCACCUUUUUCCAACAGACUGAAGGAAUUUUUUUUAAACUCCAACCGAAUCCUUCGUAUUACGCGGAUCUUGGUUGGGACCAGGCCAGUAGGUGCUUGACCGGAGCAGGGGUGAAAAACUUGUGAUCCGAUUAAUCGAAACUCUGGGAACCGUUUUCUUAAGCAUCACUUCAAACUAAUUGAUCUUUACUUAAUCUUGUCGGGAAAGGAGCGGACCCAUUUGCAUAUGAUACUGCCGGUGUGGGAUAUUUUCUUAUGCUGUUCAAAGUGUGUGUAUUUUUUUGAACGUAAUCUUAAGUGCGUCUAAAUUCCGGACGCAAUUGUAAAUCUUGAAGCACUUCAACCAAAAUCAAACAGAAUCGAUCGAUAAUGCUAUUGAGUAACAAUGGCGGAACUCCUUUUUCUUUCCAUAAAAAAUAAAAAGAAAAACCGCUGAAAAUGAUUUAUAGUUGAAAAGGUAAUACAAUUUGCAGCCAUUUUAAAUUACUUUCGGUUAUAUUUAAUUUUAAAAGUGAAAAGAAAAUAUGCAAAUAAAACGAUACGGUCUGAGGUUAGAAGGGGUGUCUACUAUAAAGAUUAGUAUGUGGAAAGGCGCGAGGGACUCAUGAAUUUGACUCCAUUGCUGAAAAAAAUAUUCUGAGGACUCCGGUACUCCUUAGUACUCCGAUUAUCGUGGACUGUGUUCUUUAGCAGCGUUAGCCUCAUCAACGCAGACGAUUAUGUUUUUGUUUCAGAAUAAAACCAUUUGUUUAUAGAUACAGGUUUUAUAUCAUAAUUAUAGUAAUUAACACUAUAAUUUUUUUUUUAAAUUAAUAGUAAAGCUUUAUAAAGGAAUUUAAAAAUCAAUU